rnacentral:rRNA from 1 species
AACGAACGCUGGCGGCAGGCUUAACACAUGCAAGUCGAACGCACCUUCGGGUGAGUGGCGCACGGGUGAGUAACACGUGGGAAUAUACCUUUCGGUGGGAGAUAACUUCGGGAAACUGAAGCUAAUACCGCAUACGCCCCUUGGGGGAAAGAUUUAUCGCCGAAAGAUUAGCCCGCGUCCGAUUAGCUAGUUGGUGAGGUAAUGGCUUACCAAGGCGACGAUCGGUAGCUGGUCUGAGAGGAUGGCCAGCCACACUGGGACUGAGACACGGCCCAGACUCCUACGGGAGGCAGCAGUGGGGAAUAUUGGACAAUGGGCGCAAGCCUGAUCCAGCCAUGCCGCGUGAGUGAUGAAGGCCUUAGGGUUGUAAAGCUCUUUCACCGGAGAAGAUAAUGACGGUAUCCGGAGAAGAAGCCCCGGCUAACUUCGUGCCAGCCGCCGCCGUAAGAC